ACGUAACGUAACUUUCCUGUUUCAAUUAAAACUUUAACACGUGAUUAAGGGGAAUCACGUGUUUGUAUCUUGGGGAAUUUGUAUUGUCACUGAAGAAUCUGAAGGUAAAGGAUUAUAUUUUUACAAGUCUAAUAUUUUAUUUAGUUAAAUGCAAUUGUCAUUGGAAGUCUUCCGCUGUUAAAUACGGGGUUAUGAAACCGAGAAUCGGAAGAUUGAGACAGAAUAAUUGUUAAAAUGAGAUCUAUUUGUCGAUGUCAUCUUUACUUCUUGUUAGUUUCAUGUGGAUGGCUGAUAACUGUUUACGCCUCAUGGAAACCAGGGUGUGAAGGUUACUUCCUGUACAAUCCUAAAGACGGAUACACGUGUAAAUAUGCCGAAUGCAGACAACCUGGCCCGACGAAACGAAAAUUCCACGUAGUCUGCAAGAAAAGGAAUCAGCAACCAUAUGAAUGUGUUUAUGAGGGCAAUCCACAUGGUUGUUCCUAUUACUACAAUCACCAUCAAAUUGAGUUUUAUAAAGGCCUGUCGGACGCAGCUGGAAAAGAUCAACCCACUGCCUGUUCACAAUCUCAGCUAGUUUUUGAUAAAUGUAGGGAUAUUAAAAUGAUCAGAACGAUCAACAGACGCAACAAGGCUGAUCCAUUUUGUAAAGUUGAGCCGGAUUUCUUAUUCUAUGUCGUUAGAAAAAAACCUGCAAUUUAACCAUGACGAUCAACAGACGCAACAAGGCUGAUCCAUUUUGUAAUGUUAAACCGGAUUUCUAAUUCCAUGUCGUUUAAAAAAAGGGAAAUAAUCUCUCAAGAUGCUUUAACGCUUUGAACAUCUUAGAUGUGUCGUGUACAAGUACGCUUAGCUUAACGAGAUCUGACUAAUGACAUUCAAUUACUUUAUUGAAUUGUCAGGUAUCCUCUUACAGUCCCAUAUAACAACUUUUGGUCUUGGAAGGAAUUAUUAGUGAGCAGAAAUUCGGUCGUGUAUCUGUUAUCACUCGUCACAUCAGUCAGUUAUAUAGAGGGGUUACUCGUGAUUUCCUUUGGCGUUCGUCACUUCCGAUUCAGGAAACGUGUAUUACUCAGCUAUCGUAGCAAUGAUCUCUGUGUUAAAAUUAUAUUUGGAAUGUGUUUAACCAGCUCUAUCACAUAUGUGAUAAUGACUCGCACCAAUAUUGUCCUUUAACACAAUAGUCCAGAGUAUAGUGAUUUUCAAUGGAAGCUUCUGCAAAAUGCUUUGCUUAAAUAAAAGUGUUACGUUAUUCGUUACCACAGUAUUAUAUAGGGCAGCCUUUUAUUGGGACCUUCUGUAUAAUAAACAAAACACAAGGCAUGCCUGGUUAUAUCGCCAAUAGGCGGAUAGGGUUGGGGCACUCUGUAUAAGAAACAACCCACAAGGAGUGCUUGUAGCUUCAACGAGAUUGGGUUAAGGUGGGGUCAUCAAUGCUUCAAAAAUAUUUAUGAAGUAAUCAUAAUCUAUAAAUACGCUAAGUACAAGUUAAAGUCUCAAUACCACUCUUGUUGUAACUGAAUAAUAUGUCCCAAUCUUUAUUCUGGUCAACAAAUUGUACUAUUUUAGAAUAUUUCAAUUAAUUGAUGAUACAAAUUUCAUCUUAACACACCUUAUUUUAAAAUUUUGAAAAAUUCAACAUAAUGGUUUGAAACGUCUAACGUAAACCUUUUCAAAUGAAACUUGGAUUUAAAAAUAUUUAGGGGGGUUGGAUGGCUGAAUGGUUAGCGUGCGCGCGCUGUAUCAUAAAGUCUGUCAUUGAGUCGACUGGCGUGGUUUCGAAUCCCCGGUUGUACGUGGCAAGGAGUAGGGUCGCCUGUCCAACCUCGUGGGUUUUCUCCGGGGCCUCCGGUUUCCUCCCACUGCUAAAGACCCCUACGCGCAAGCGAAUUAUGUAAAUAAAAAUUAAACCAUAUGUUAGUCCCGAAAUGACCUAGUUUGUGUCGAGUGGACGUUGAACCCCAUUUCUCUCUCUCUCUCUCUCUCUCUCUCUCUCUCUUUAACAAUAUUUUGGAACCCUCUGGACAAGUAAAAUAGGAUGUAAUGGAUAAUUUACACAACAGGUAGGACACUUAAACAUCUAGUACUUAGAUAGAGAUAUUAUUUAUUUUCUGGAGCUUUCAAACCAGCAACAUUGUUAUUGUCCCUUUAAUCUUUAUUCGUAAACAAUGUGGUUAUAAAACAAAAAAACUUUUUCAUAUUCAGCUUUAUUAUAUUAUGUCGAGUAACUGUGCCAUACAAUUAAAUUUUUCAUGAAAAUGUACAUUUGCAUUAAAAUGCUUAAUUGUACUGUUUUUGCGCUCUUCUAAUUUGUAAACAUUUUUUGCAAAAAUAAAAAUCGGCUCACUAUUCUUCACUUAUUUCAUAAUUUGGAAAAUAAUUUGUUGGUUUUUUUUAUAAAUUUAACGUCCAAUACAUUGAAAGAUUUAAUUUAAUUAAAUUAUUUACAUAUGAAGGCGUAAUAUUUAUAUGAAAAAGAAAAUAUGUAAAAAAUUGGAAACAAUACCGGCCCAGAUGUCCACUCAACACAAACUGGUUAUUUUGGGACUGAUAUAUGGUGCAGUAUUAUUUCACUAAUUCGAAGGUCCGUAGUGGUCUUGAGCAGAAAACCUCUGACCAACGAGGUUUAGGCAGGCAACCUUGCUCCUUGCAACGUACAAGCGUGGAAUCGAAACCACGCCCCUUGACUCAAUGACAGGGCUUAUAAUCUAAAGGUCACGCGUUAAAUCAACCCCCAGCACUAAUAAGUCAUUUUAAACAAGCGGUAAGAUUUAUGGAAAUCCCCUUAUAUUUUGAAGUGUGAUUUCGAUUACCUCAGUAACGUCAAUAGUACAGGAAGUCUGGACUUGUUCAUUAUGAAUCAAUUACGUUUAAUUUAAAUGGUAUGUCUGCUGUUACGCCACGCCUCCUAGGUGGCGCUGUGCAACUGUCUUACCCCACAAGAGGGUAAUUUGAUUCAUGCAACCCCCCAUAUGAAAGAAUAGUUUCGCGCCUUUCCACAACGCGAUGCAAGCUGAAGCUAGUGCCAGCAAGCACUUAACUAGCAUAUUUUCUUUGUCAAACUUACAUGUAGGUAAUUAUUCAGAAGUUUCUGAAUAUGGUUCAGGCGCCGGAGCAGGAGAAAGAGGAACGUCCUACUGUUCUGCUCCACUAGGUUAAUGAAGACGGACGUGUUUCAAUAAACCACGUGCUAUUGGUAUGAUAAAUCACACCCUCUAGCAAUUAUACAAGCGUUUUUAAUUGAAACCAUUCAAGACAGAUUUAUUAUUAAAGUAGAUAAUAGCAAAAACUAUCUAUUUUAUUAUGCCUUUCUAUGAAAGCCAUUGAUCAACACUGAUAUUGUGUGUAAAGUAUAUAUAAUAUGUAGAGUGUGAAUAAAAACCUUUUCAAGAGAAAAGAGAAAGAAAUGGGUAGCUCUCCGUGCGUAAACGUUUUUAAUUGAUGUUUUAAAUCAUGUAUUCCAUACAUAAAGUCAUAAGUUUUAUAUUUAGAAAUACCUUCAUGAAUAAAGUCUGGUAUGAACUGGCAUAUAACCAUUUCUAGUAAAUGCACAUAAACUGAUUAACCGUGAUAUAACAUUCUCUUGACUUUAAUGUAUCAGGGGAGGUCAACAUUUUAUAUAUCAUACGUUAGGUUGUUUACACGAAUUCAAGUCCGCCGGAAACCCGGUCUACUUCAAUACUUUAAUAAACAAGCUCCAUGUUCCCAGUUUAAUUCAUUACGCAUAUUGUAGCAAUAUAGUCGUUGCGACAUUGUUUAUAAAUUUAUAGGCAAGGAAUGGAGGAAUAAGAUGACUUUAUAUUUCAUUAAUUAAUAUAUUUGGCAAAUUAAUAGUUUCACACAUAUUGUAGUGUGUAAUAAAUCAACUUAGGGUAUAAAUGACAUAUUGUUAUAUAAAAAAAGAGUUUUUAGCCAAAACAUGUGUCUAUAAAAUACCACAGAGAGUACAUGUGCAAGGAAAAGUACUAUUGCGUCAUUGGGUUUAAUUUAACCAAUCAUAUCGUAAUUGCACAGGUUCAGGGCCAUGAUCACACUUGUUUGUGCAUGAUAUCCAUAAGUCUUAUAAAAGAAAUCAUAUUAAACUUUUAAGUAAGACUUCCAUUAGAUUCCAGAGAGGUUCCAUCUGAGUUCCUAGACAGCCGCGAGGCUGGCUAGGGUGGAGAAAUGAUUUUAGCUAGUAUUGUUAUCUAUUAUACUUGUAACCAUAUGUAUUCGGCUAUGCUAUAUAAAAUGUAGAAGCGAA